GACAGAGGGUGCAAACGUUGUUCGGAAUUACUGGGCGUAAAGCGCGUGUAGGCGGCUUGGUAUGUCGGGUGUGAAAUCCCCGGGCUCAACCUGGGAACUGCAUCCGAAACUGCCUUGCUAGAGUAUGGGAGAGGGAAGUGGAAUUUCCGGUGUAGCGGUGAAAUGCGUAGAUAUCGGAAGGAACAUCAGUGGCGAAGGCGACUUCCUGGACCAAUACUGACGCUGAGGCGCGAAAGCCAGGGGAGCAAACGGG
rnacentral:rRNA from 1 species